rnacentral:rRNA from 1 species
UACGUAGGGUGCGAGCAUUGUCCGGAAUUAUUGGGCGUAAAGAGCUCGUAGGCGGCCUGUCGCGUCGGAUGUGAAAGCCCGGGGCUUAACCCCGAGUCUGCAUUCGAUACGGGCAGGCUGGAGUUCGGUAGGGGAGAUCGGAAUUCCUGGUGUAGCGGUGAAAUGCGCAGAUAUCAGGAAGAACACCCGUGGCGAAGGCGGCUCUCUGGGACGGUACUGACGCUGAGACGCGAAAGCGUGGGGAGCGAACAGG